rnacentral:rRNA from 1 species
AGAGUUUGAUCAUGGCUCAGGACGAACGCUGACGGUGUGCUUUAGACAUGCAAGUCGAACGAGAAAGCCCUUCGGGGUGAGUACAGUGGCGAACGGGUGAGUAACACGUGGGCAAUCUGCCCCUCGCAGGGGGACAACCGGGGGGAAACCCCGGCUAAUACCCCGUACGCUUACGGAGCCGCAUGGGUCCGUAAGGAGAGGUAGCUUCGGCCAUCCGGCGAGGGAUGAGCCCGCGGUGCAUUAGCUAGUUGGUGGGGUAACGGCUCACCAAGGCGACGAUGGAUAGCUGGUCUGAGAGGAUGAUCAGCCACACUGGGACUGAGACACGGCCCAGACUCCUACGGGAGGCAGCAGUCGGGAAUCUUGCGCAAUGGGCGAAAGCCUGACGCAGCAACACCGUGUGGGCGACGAAGGCCUUCGGGUCGUAAAGCCCUGUUGUUGGGGACGAAGGGCGAAGGGUUAAUAGCCCCUAGCUUGACGGUACCCUUCGAGGAAGCCCCAGCUAACUACGUGCCAGCAGCCGCGGUAAUACGUAGGGGGCGAGCGUUGUCCGGAAUUAUUGGGCGUAAAGAGCGUGUAGGCGGUUUGGUAAGUCUGCCGUGAAAACCCGGGGCUCAACCCCGGUCGUGCGGUGGAUACUGCCAGGCUAGAGGAUGGUAGAGGCGAGUGGAAUUCCCGGUGUAGCGGUGAAAUGCGCAGAUAUCGGGAGGAACACCAGUAGCGAAGGCGGCUCGCUGGGCCAUUCCUGACGCUGAGACGCGAAAGCUAGGGGAGCGAACAGGAUUAGAUACCCCGGUAGUCC